rnacentral:rRNA from 1 species
UCCAGACUCCUACGGGAGGCAGCAGUGGGGGAUAUUGGACAAUGGGGGAAACCCUGAUCCAGCGACGCCGCGUGAGUGAAGAAGUAUUUCGGUAUGUAAAGCUCUAUCAGCAGGGAAGAAAGAAAUGACGGUACCUGAGUAAGAAGCCCCGGCUAACUACGUGCCAGCAGCCGCGGUAAUACGUAGGGGGCAAGCGUUAUCCGGAAUUACUGGGUGUAAAGGGAGCGUAGACGGCGAUGCAAGCCAGAUGUGAAAGCCCGGGGCUCAACCCCGGGACUGCAUUUGGAACUGUAUAGCUAGAGUGUCGGAGAGGCAGGCGGAAUUCCUAGUGUAGCGGUGAAAUGCGUAGAUAUCAGGAGGAACACCGGUGGCGAAGGCGGCCUGCUGGACUGCGACUGACGUUGAGGCCCGAAAGCGUGGGGAGCAAACAGGAUUAGAUACCCCAGUACC